GCUUGUCUCAAAGAUUAAGCCAUGCAUGUCUAAGUAUAAACAAAUUUAUAGUGAAACUGCGAAUGGCUCAUUAUAUCAGUUAUAGUUUAUUUGGCGAUAAAAACUACUUGGAUAACCGUAGUAAUUCUAGAGCUAAUACAUGCAUCAUCCCCCAUCUCGGGGUGUAUUUAUUAGAUGGAAACCAAUGCGGGGCAACCCGGUAUAUGGUGAUUCAUAAUAACUUUCGGAUCGAUUUAUCGAUGCAUCAUUCAAGUUUCUGCCCUAUCAGCUUUGGAUGGUAGGGUAUUGGCCUACCAUGGCUUUAACGGGUAACGGAGAAUUAGGGUUCGAUUCCGGAGAGGGAGCCUGAGAAAUGGCUACCACAUCCAAGGAAGGCAGCAGG
rnacentral:rRNA from 1 species